rnacentral:rRNA from 1 species
AGGACGAACGCUGGCGGCGUGCUUAACACAUGCAAGUCGAGCGGUAAGGCCUUUCGGGGUACACGAGCGGCGAACGGGUGAGUAACACGUGGGUGAUCUGCCCUGCACUCUGGGAUAAGCCUGGGAAACUGGGUCUAAUACCGGAUAUGACCUGCUCUCGCAGUGGGGGUGGGUGGAAAGUAUUUAGUCGGUGCAGGAUGGGCCCGCGGCCUAUCAGUCUUGGUUGGUGGGUAAUGGCCUACCGAAGGCGACGGACGGGUACGCCGACCGUGAGGACGGGUCGACCGGCCAACGACGUGGACUGAGACACGGCCCAGAC